GGCGACCCGCGGGCUAGUGCCGCAGAAAACAAACCGCCACGCGCUAGCGUUGGUAAGGGUGAAAAGGCGGUGUAAGAGACCACCAGUGGUCAAGGUGACUUGACCAGCUAGGUAAACCCCAUCCGGAGCAAGACCAAGCAGCAAGUUGGGUGGUCCGCCUUUAACUUGCGGGUAGGUUGCUAAAGGCGUGCGGUAACGUACGUCGUAGAUAGAUGGUCGCCGCUGGCAUAGCCAGUACAGAACCCGGCUUAUAGGCCGGCUGAUCUC
rnacentral:RNase_P_RNA from 1 species